rnacentral:lncRNA from 1 species
CACAAUCAGAAAUAUUGAGGAAACAAGUGAUUAUAUUUUCAGAUAUUGUCUGGUCACACAGGGAAUCCACCAUGCAGAGCAACCAGAACCAGGGAGUAAAACUGCUCUGAGCUCACAGACGCUUUCACCUUGAGGAUCCCAUAAGAAAACAGUUCUGGGGAUGGAGGGGCUGUGAACUUCCCUGCCUGCACAGGAGCUGCUUCUAUAGCCCCUAAAGAAAUCACUAGGAG